UACGAUAUGGUGUAAUGGUUAACAUUACCGCCUCUCAAGCUUUGAAGCUUAGAAUUCAGGGUAGCUCGGGGUUCGCUUCCCCAUAUCGAAG